GUAUGGAUCACAAAAUAUCUGAAAAUUAUUAUUGAUACAGAGAAGAUUAGCAUGGCCCCUGCACAAGGAUGACAUGCAAAUUCGUGAAGCAUUCCAUAUUUUU